AGAUUUGGAGUUGGCAUAUAUCUUGCAAGUCGAACGAUGAACCACUUAGGUGGGGAUUAGUGGCGAACGGGUGAGUAACAUGUGGGCAAUCUGCCCUUCACUCUGGGACAAGCCCUGGAAACGGGGUCUAAUACCGGAUACAACACUCUCGGGCAUCCGAUGAGUGUGGAAAGCUCCGGCGGUGAAGGAUGAGCCCGCGGCCUAUCAGCUUGUUGGUGAGGUAACGGCUCACCAAGGCGACGACGGGUAGCCGGCCUGAGAGGGCGACCGGCCACACUGGGACUGAGACACGGCCCAGACUCCUACGGGAGGCAGCAGUGGGGAAUAUUGCACAAUGGGCGAAAGCCUGAUGCAGCGACGCCGCGUGAGGGAUGACGGCCUUCGGGUUGUAAACCUCUUUCAGCAGGGAAGAAGCGAAAGUGACGGUACCUGCAGAAGAAGCGCCGGCUAACUACGUGCCAGCAGCCGCGGUAAUACGUAGGGCGCGAGCGUUGUCCGGAAUUAUUGGGCGUAAAGAGCUCGUAGGCGGUCUGUCGCGUCGGAUGUGAAAGCCCGGGGCUUAACCCCGGGUCUGCAUUCGAUACGGGCAGACUAGAGUGUGGUAGGGGAGAUCGGAAUUCCUGGUGUAGCGGUGAAAUGCGCAGAUAUCAGGAGGAACACCGGUGGCGAAGGCGGAUCUCUGGGCCAUUACUGACGCUGAGGAGCGAAAGCGUGGGGAGCGAACAGGAUUAGAUACCCUGGUAGUCCACGCCGUAAACGGUGGGAACUAGGUGUUGGCGACAUUCCACGUCGUCGGUGCC
rnacentral:rRNA from 1 species